rnacentral:rRNA from 1 species
GACGUAGGGGGGCCAGCGUUGCUCGGAAUUACUGGGUGUAAAGGGUUCGUAGGCGGUGUGGCAAGUCGGGAGUGAAAUCUCUGGGCUCAACCCAGAGUCUGCUUCCGAAACUGCUGUGCUUGAGUGUGGGAGAGGCGCGUGGAAUUGCAGGUGUAGCGGUGAAAUGCGCAGAUAUCAGGAGGAACACCGGUGGCGAAGGCGGGUCUCUGGGCCGAUACUGACGCUGAGGAGCGAAAGCGUGGGGAGCGAACAGG